rnacentral:rRNA from 1 species
GAGUUUGAUCCUGGCUCAGAACGUACGCUGGCGGCACGCCUAACACAUGCAAGUCGAACGAAGUAGCAAUACUUAGUGGCAGACGGGUGAGUAACAUGUGGGUAUCUGCCCUUUGGCCUGGAAUAACACGAGGAAACUUGUGCUAAUACCGGAUAAGUCUUUACGGAGAAAGCUUUAUGCACCAUUGGAUGAGCCUGCACUUGAUUAGUUUGUUGGUGGGGUAAUGGCCUACCAAGACUGUGAUCAGUAGCUGAUUUGAGAGGAUGAUCAGCCACAUUGGGACUGAGACACGGCCCAAACUCCUACGGGAGGCAGCAGUGGGGAAUCUUGCACAAUGGAGGAAACUCUGAUGCAGCGAUGCCGCGUGAGUGAAGAAGGCCCUUGGGUUGUAAAGCUCUUUCGUCGGGGAAGAAAAUGACUGUACCCGAAUAAGAAGGUCCGGAUAACUUCGUGCCAGCAGCCGCGGUAAUACGAAGGGACCUAGCGUAGUUCGGAAUUACUGGGCUUAAAGAGUUCGUAGGUGGUUGAAAAAGUUAGUGGUGAAAUCCCAGAGCUUAACUCUGGAACUGCCAUUAAAACUUUUCAGCUAGAGCAUGAUAGAGGAAAGCAGAAUUUCUAGUGUAGAGGUGAAAUUCGUAGAUAUUAGAAAGAAUACCAAUUGCGAAGGCAGCUUUCUGGAUCAUUACUGACACUGAGGAACGAAAGCAUGGGUAGCGAAGAGGAUUAGAUACCCUCGUAGUCCAUGCCGUAAACGAUGUGUGUUAGACGUUGGAAAUUUAUUUUCAGUGUCGCAGGGAAACCGAUAAACACACCGCCUGGGGAGUACGACCGCAAGGUUAAAACUCAAAUGAAUUGACGGGGACCCGCACAAGUAGUGGAGCAUGUGGUUUAAUUCGAAGAUACGCGCAGAACCUUACCAACACUUGACAUGUUCGUCGCGACUCUAAGAGAUUAGAGUUUUCGGUUCGGCCGGACGAAACACAGGUGCUGCAUGGCUGUCGUCAGCUCGUGUCGUGAGAUGUUGGGUUAAGUCCCGCAACGAGCGCAACCCUCACUUUUAGUUGCCAUCAUUAAGUUGGGCACUCUGAAAGAACUGCCAGUGAUAAGCUGGAGGAAGGUGGGGAUGACGUCAAGUCCUCAUGGCCCUUACGUGUUGGGCUACACACGUGCUACAAUGGUAUCUACAACAGGAAGCAAGACUGCGAAGUUAAGCAAAUCCCUAAAAGAUACCUCAGUUCGGAUUGCACUCUGCAACUCGAGUGCAUGAAGCUGGAAUUACUAGUAAUCGUGGAUCAGCGUGCCACGGUGAAUACGUUCCCGGGUCUUGUACACACCGCCCGUCACACCAUGGAAGUUGGUUACACCUUAAGGCAAAGCUUAUACCUUUGACUACGGUACGAUCAGCAACUGGGGUGAAGUCGUAACAAGGUAACC